rnacentral:RNase_P_RNA from 1 species
CAUGCAAAAUGUUCUAUCGCGUUACACUGGUUGUAAUGAGGAAAGUCUGGGCAACACAGAGCAGCAUACUACCUAACGGGUAGGCGGUUAAUUUAACUAUUAACUGACAGACAGUGCUAAAGAAAAUUAAACUACCAGUAUGCAAAUAUUGGAAAAGGUGAAAAGGUGGUGUAAGAGACCACCGGGUAUUUGGUAACAAGUAUUGCAAGGUAAACCUUAUGCGUUGCAAGGUCAAAUAGGUUGUAUCAGACUUCGGUCUAAAAGGUGGCUCGCUUUUAUAUACAAUGGGUAGACUGCAAUAGAUUAUGCCAGUGAUGGUAUAGCAAGAUAAAUGAUAGAAUUUAAUGGAAUACAAAUUCAAUUAAAACAGAACCCGGCUUAUAGUUUUGCAAUAAAA